GUGCCAGCAGCCGCGGUAAUACGUAGGGAGCGAGUGUUAUCCGGAAUUAUUGGGCGUAAAGCGUGCGUAGGCGGUAUGUUAAGUCAAAUGUGAAAGCCCAGGGCUUAACCCUGGAGAGUCAUUUGAAACUGGCAUGCUUGAGUACGGCAGAGGUAAGUGGAAUUCAAUGUGUAGCGGUGGAAUGCGUAGAUAUAUUGAGGAACACCAGUGGCGAAGGCGGCUUACUGGACCGGAACUGACGCUGAGGCACGAAAGCGUGGGGAGCAAACAGGAUUAGAAACCCCAGUAGUCC
rnacentral:rRNA from 1 species